rnacentral:misc_RNA from 1 species
UCCCUGUUACCAGGGCAGUCUAGCUAGAAAAAUACAACUAACUACAAGGGUUGCGCUCGUUGAUGGACUUAACCAAACAUCUCACGACACGAGCUGACGACGGCCAUGCAUCACCUGUCACUUGGUUCCCGAAGGCACAGUUUCCUUUCGGAAGCCUUCCAAGGAUGUCAAGCCUGGGUAAGGUUCUUCGCUUACCAUCGAAUUAAACAACACGCUCCACCGCUUGUGCGGGUCCCCGUCAAUUCCUUUAUGUUUUAAGCUUGCGCUCGUACUCCACAGGCGGGAUGCUUAACGCGUUAGCUUCGCUACAAGAAGGGUCGAUACUCCUUACAGCUAGCAUCCAUAGUUUACGGCGUGGACUAC